UGAGCAACCUGCCCUUGACCCUGGAAUAACAGUUGGAAACAGCUGCUAAUACCGGAUACGACCUCUUUCGACAUCUGAAGAGGUGGAAAGCUCCGGCGGUCAAGGAUGGGCUCGCGGCCUAUCAGCUUGUUGGUGAGGUAACGGCUCACCAAGGCUUCGACGGGUAGCCGGCCUGAGAGGGCGACCGGCCACACUGGGACUGAGAUACGGCCCAGACUCCUACGGGAGGCAGUAGGUAGGGG
rnacentral:rRNA from 1 species